CCUACGGGUGGCAGCAGUGAGGAAUAUUGGUCAAUGGGCGGAAGCCUGAACCAGCCAAGUAGCGUGUGGGAUGAAGGCCCUACGGGUCGUAAACCGCUUUUGCACGGGGAUAACACCCUCCACUUGUGGAGGUCUGCAGGUACCGUGCGAAUAAGGGCCGGCUAAUUCCGUGCCAGCAGCCGCGGUAAUACGGAAGGCGCGAGCGUUAUCCAGAUUCAUUGGGCUUAAAGGGAGCGUAGGCGGGCGGUUAAGUCAGCUGUAAAAUCGCGGGGCUCAACCGCGCCCCGCAUUUGAAACUGGACGACUUGAGUUCACAACAGGCAGGCGGAAUUCGAGGUGUAGCGGUGAAAUGCAUAGAUAUCACGAGGAACCCCGAUGGCGAAGGCAGCCUGCCGGGGUGCGACUGACGCUGAGGCUCGAAGGUGCGGGUAGCAAACAGGAUUAGAUACCCGAGUAGUC
rnacentral:rRNA from 1 species